UGUGUGUGUGUGUGUGUGUGUGUGUGUGUGUGUGUGUGUGUGUGUGUGUGUGUGUGUGUGUGUGUGUGUGUGUGUGUGUGUGUGUGUGUGUGUGUGUGUGUGUGUGUGUGUGUGUGUGUGUGUGUGUGUGUGUGUGAACUCAGGUAGUGGUAAUGUGAAAGCCUCAGUGUUACCAGUUGGCACCAUUGUGGGUCGUGUUACUGGUACUGGUAUAUUACUCCUAGUUGCUGUGUUACUUGGUGUUGGAUACAUCAAACAUACCAGAAGACAGAAAAUCCCUAAAGAACAAAGUCCACUAGAAGAGGUCAUUGUUCCAAGAGCAGUGAAGACUUCACCAGGGAGAGAAGAACCACAGCCCUCUCCUGACCAGAACCACAGCCCUCUCCUGACCAGAACCACAGCCCUCUCCUGACCAGAACCACAGCACUCUCCUGACCAGAACCACAGCACUCUCCUUACCAGAACCACAACCCUCUCCUGUCCAGAACCACGGCACUCUCCUGACCAGAACCACACCCCUCUCCUGUCCAGAACCACACCACUCUCCUGUCCAGAACCACACCACUCUCCUGUCCAGAACCACACCACUCUCCUGACCAGAACCACAGCACUCUCCUUACCAGAACCACAGCCCUCUCCUGUCCAGAACCACGGCACUCUCCUGACCAGAACCACACCCCUCUCCUGUCCAGAACCACACCACUCUCCUGUCCAGAACCACACCACUCUCCUGUCCAGAACCACACCACUCUCCUGACCAGAACCACAGCACUCUCCUGUCCAGAACCACACCACUCUCCUGUCCAGAACCACACCACUCUCCUGACCAGAACCACACCACUCUCCUGACCAGAACCACACCACUCUCCUGUCCAGAACCACACCACUCUCCAGAGAUACAGACAGUCUACUUCACUGAGAAGAACCAGCACCAGCAGAACACCUCCAAGUUGAAACAGGAAGCGCUUCUCCAGACAUUAGACCAAAAUAACAGAAAAUAACUGCCUCUGAACUGCAUCAUCUCAUUGAGUCAGUGAGUUACAUCAGUUCUUGACCUUGUACAGAAACCACGGGACAUUGCACCACCUAGUGGACAUCAAUAAUACCAGCAGAGUAAACCUCAUGGCUUCAUUCAUCAACAUGUUGGGAAGUUGUUUUAGACCAAGAUAUUUAUAUGUUCUAGUAUGUGUUAUUACAAUACCACAAAGCCCACGUUUUUCCAGAUUUGUCCAAUCCUAAAUGAACCCCUGGCUCAGGUUUACACCACAUUGAUUGUAGGAUCAGAUAGGUGUACCAGUCAGCAGUAAAAUGCUAUUAGUUCCACCUACCCAUCAAUGUUGUGUAUAUGAGAGGGCAGACUUGACCUCAUUAGGCCACCGUAGAUGGAUUCUUUAACACAUUUUAUCUGUCAAGCCAUCAAAGUCAUACGUCUUUUUUAAAGAAUUUGUUCCUAACUGACCUGCCAAGUUAAAUAAAUGUUCAAUAAAACAAAUAGAUAUAUCAGUCAUCUUUUUAACUGGGACACACAAGUAUUUAUAAUCUCUCUAACCAUAACCUGCUACUUUUUACACUGCCUUGUCCUUCCUCUGAGUUUGGAAGACACUGGCAGCUACACUACAUGACCAAAAGUAUGUGGACAUCUGGUGUUCAAACAUCUCAUUCCAAAAUCAUGGGCAUUAACAUGGAGUUGGUCCUCCCUUUGCUGCUUUAACAGUCUCCUCUCUUCUGGGAAGACUUUCCACUAGAUGUUGGAACAUUGCUGAGGGGACUAGCUUUUUCCAUUCAGCCACAAGAGCAUUAGUGAGGUCAGGCACUGUUGAGCGAUUAGGCCUGGCUCGCAGUUGAUUAGGCCUGGCUCGCAGGUGUUCGAUGGGGUUGAGGUCAGGGUUCUCUGCAGGCCAGUCAUGUUCUUCCACCUAUCUCGUCAAACCAUUUCUGUAUGCUUUGUUUACGGGGGCAUUUUCAUGCUGAAACAGGAAACAGCUUUGCUUUAUCUUGGCCAGGUCACAAUUGUAAAUGAGAACUUGUUCUCAACUUGCCUACCUGGUUAAAUAACGGUUAAAUAAAUAAAAUACAACUGUAGUCUCUAGACCACUCAUGAAUGUAGGUACAGUGCCUUGCGAAAGUAUUCGGCCCCCUUGAACUUUGCGACCUUUUGCCACAUUUCAGGCUUCAAACAUAAAGAUAUAAAACUGUAUUUUUUUGUGAUGAAUCAACAACAAGUGGGACACAAUCAUGAAGUGGAACGACAUUUUAUUGGAUAUUUCAAUUUUUUUUAACAAAUCAAAAACUGAAAAAUUGGGCGUGCAAAAUUAUUAUUAUCACCAUAAUGGCCAUUAACAAGAUCAAGAGAUGGAUAUCCUCAAAAGAAGAUGACUCAACUCAGGUACUUCCUGUGAAAUGAAUGUAUUAGUUAGGAUUGCUAGCUUUAUUAAAUUAUGAUUUGAAUGUU